GGUGAGAAGUUGAAGCUGUCUUAGGGCUGCCUCCAAGAAUCUUCCCAGGUAUUGAUGUUAGACUGAUUGGUCUGCAGUUUCCUGGGUCUGUUUUCCCCCCACCCCUUUCUUGAAGAUGGGAACUACAUCAGCCCUUAUCCAAUCCUCAAGUACUUCCCUGGUGCUCCAGGAUUUUUGAAAGAUAUGAUACAAUGGUUCUGAGAAACAUCUGCCAGCUCCUUCAGAACUCUGGGAUGUGAUUUGUCAGGUCCUGGUGAUUUAUAUUUAUCAAGGAGGAGAAAAGCUUAGAGCAUCCAGAGCCAUGCCAGGAAAUGAAUGAUGGAUCCCGUGAUUUAACAUACUU